UCCGGUUGAUCCUGCCGGACCCGACUGCUAUCGGAGUGGGACUAAGCCAUGCGAGUCAACAUAGCAAUAUGUGGCAUACGGCUCAGUAACACGUAGUCAACAUGCCCAGGGGACGUGGAUAACCUCGGGAAACUGAGGAUAAACCGCGAUAGGUCAUCACUUCUGGAAUGGGUAAUGACUUAAAUCUAUAUGGCCCCUGGAUUGGACUGCGGCCGAUCAGGCUGUUGGUGAGGUAAUGGCCCACCAAACCUGUAACCGGUACGGGCUCUGAGAGGAGGAGCCCGGAGAUGGGCACUGAGACAAGGGCCCAGGCCCUAUGGGGCGCAGCAGGCGCGAAACCUCUGCAAUAGGCGAAAGCUUGACAGGGUUACUCUGAGUGAUUUCCGUUAAGGAGAUCUUUUGGCACCUCUAAAAAUGGUGCAGAAUAAGGGGUGGGCAAGUCUGGUGUCAGCCGCCGCGGUAAUACCAGCACCCCGAGUGGUCGGGACGUUUAUUGGGCCUAAAGCAUCCGUAGCCGGUUCUACAAGUCUUCCGUUAAAUCCACCUGCUUAACAGAUGGGCUGCGGAAGAUACUAUAGAGCUAGGAGGCGGGAGAGGCAAGCGGUACUCGAUGGGUAGGGGUAAAAUCCGUUGAUCCAUUGAAGACCACCAGUGGCGAAAGCGGCUUGCCAGAACGCGCUCGACGGUGAGGGAUGAAAGCUGGGGGAGCAAACCGGAUUAGAUACCCGGGUAGUCCCAGCUGUAAACGAU
rnacentral:rRNA from 1 species